rnacentral:snRNA from 2 species
AAAUAAGAGAGCAAUUAGGUUACAACAUCUGUCACUUCAUUGAUUAUUAAGUAUUAUUUAAGUCAUCUGACUUUCUAGGCAGAUGUUCUUGUCCUCCCUCACAACUCCAUGUGACUGUUUCCUGAAUUGUCAAAGAUUAUAUUUACUCUAACCAAAUCAUAUAAUUAGGUCUAAGGCUU